AGUGAAAUCCCAAAAUCUAACUCGUGAAAUCCCAAAAUCAUUGCUCGAUUUCUUCACGUGGAAAAGGUCACCGGUGCUGGCGAAAAGAGAAUACAUGAACUAGCCUCAAUCACGACUUUGGAAUCACUACCCACGCUGCUAAAAAUUCUCUUUUGUUGAUUUCGAAUCAUCCAAGGUAAUGUUUUCUAAUAACAUUCAUGCCGCUGAUCUAGUUUUUGUUAAGUCAUACAUGCAACGAUCUGUCAUUAAUUUAUCUCUGUGUUACCUGUGUUGCUUAUUAAUUGUUUGAUCGAACCAAUUUGCUUUUUUUUUUUGUCAAUAAGUGAAAAUAAAAGAGGAAGUUCUUUUGUGUGUUGAAAGUGCUUUUUCUCUGCUUCUGCUCCUACUGCGUAUAGAGACAAGAUGUGGUGCCAGUUCAGUGGUCAUGUGGAAGCUCUUUUUUUUGUUUAAAAU
rnacentral:lncRNA from 1 species